AUACACAGACACAAAUUGGCACUUAUAAAAACCUUAGCUCAUGAAUGAAGAGGAAGUGGGUGAAGUGAGAAACCAAGAAAGGGAAGAAGUGGUGGGUUCAGUGAGCAAAUCAGUUGUAGGGCAGCCCCAUGUUGGGCAUGGCUUUGGAAUUACUUUGGUAACCCUUAAGUUUUUUUUUUUUUUUUAAUUGUUUCAAAUUAAGUCAUUUUUCUUUUCCUUUUUCUUACAGCAGUUUGUAUAAUAAUUGGUUUUGUCUUUGUCAAAGAAACAAAAACAAGUUUUCAAUUUUUUUCUUUUAAUUUGAAAGUUAAAUCUUGGUAAAAGUAGAUAGCAAAGCAAUAAAUUUAAACGUGGAAUACAAUACUAUAGACUUUAAUUUCAAAAACUAAAAAAUCAAAAUCAAAUGAUUACUAUAUAAGGUCUUGAUUAUUUGAAAUUUUAAGGUUAAUUCCAUAAACUUAGCCCGAUGGGGCUGCCCUGUGACUGCUUUUGGCUUAAUUUUGUAUCGAGAUUAAUCCCUAUGUGUCCUUAUGGCCUUAUUAAUGGGGCAUCCAAUCACAAGGGGAGAACGCCUGGAAGGUAGGAUUUGAAUUCAGAUCCCGACGUCUCCCUACGACUUAUCAACAUCAUCCUUACUUAUUUUAAAGGCUUGUUAGAGUGAAAGUUGCUCUCACAACCCAAUACAAGUCCUUUUAGCACGUUUUGUCCUCACUUUUUCUUUGCAGCUGUCCGUCUGUUCUAUUGCUCAGUUCUUGAUCUGCAGAUUCAAAGUUUCUGUCAGUGCUGAAAUUUUCAUUUAAGCGUAGCUGUUCCAACAAAAACUCUACAUAUUUUAGUUUCCAUUCAUGCCCAUCCCCAUGCCCUAUUAUUCGAAUAGGAUGGUAAAAUAGUGUGUGUGUAUGGCAAACAAAAAAAAAAAGAAAAGAAAAUCUACAGAGACUAAAUUGAAAAUACUAUAUAACUAAAGCUCAGUAAUAUAUAUAUACUUAAAAAUUUCAAGGUUUCUUUUAGGUAAGAGAUGGGUAUGGAAAUGGUGAAAAUUAAACAAGGUUGAUAUGCACCAAAUACGUAAGAUCAGAUGAAAAGGCAACCAACAUCUCUAACUCCAUGCAUAUAAAACACAAAUGUAUAUCUAACAGUGACACGUCAAACGUAAAUAAACGAUUAUUAAAAAAAAUGGUUCAUCAAACAAUGUUUAUUGAAGAAAAGCUUGAAUAUACUAUAAUAAACUAUAUAUUAUAUCAAUUGAAUUAAAAUAUAUAAAUUGUUAUAGAAGAACCCUUGAAAUAGUUUUUUAGCCUUUGGUUUAAUUUUAUGAAUGACAUUUUUUUCCCAUAAAAUUUUUGAAGAGACUCUUGCAAACAAGUUGCAUUAGAGGACAUUUGGAUUUGAUUAGGCAAUUUUUUUUUUUCAUUUUUAUUUCAAUGCCUUUAUAAAAAUUAUCUAAAAAAGCAUUCAUUUGUUAUAUAUACACAUAUAUAUUCUCCAAAAGAAGCGUUUUCACAUUUAAGUUUGUUUGUUUUGAUAUAAUCAAAGUGCUUUUAUUAUAGAAGAAGACUAUGAACUACAAUGAACUCUGGUUGCUGGAGUGAUCAAUAAAGUUGUUGUUGGAUGUCACACAUUAGAGACAAUCAUUGAAGUUGGCUGCCAGAAGUAGUCGUUGAAGUUAAUCAAGAGGUGGUCAUUUCACCAAGAUUGAGAGUUGGAGGUGGUCUUUGUUAGAGUUAGCCAUUAGAUCAGUUUUGUUGCAUAAGUGGGUUCGAAAGUUGGUUGUGACAAUCAAUCGUCAAAUGUUGGAUUUUUUUUUGAAUAAUUAGUUUGGGUGUUUGUUGCACGUUUAAUUGUGUAGCUUAAUUAGAUUUGUUCAAAGAUAUAAAGAGUCCAACAAAACUCAGUAUCAAUGUUAACCUAGUUAAGCAUAAUUAUUUUCA